rnacentral:rRNA from 1 species
UACGGGGGGAGCAAGCGUUGUUCGGAUUUACUGGGCGUAAAGGGCGCGUAGGCGGCGUAACAAGUCACUUGUGAAAUCUCCGGGCUUAACCCGGAGCGGCCAAGUGAUACUGUUGUGCUAGAGUGCGGAAGGGGCUACUGGAAUUCUCGGUGUAGCGGUGAAAUGCGUAGAUAUCAGGAGGAACACCGAUUGCGAAGGCAGCUCGCUGGAACGUUACUGACGCUGAGACGCGAAAGCGUGGGGAGCAAACAGG